rfam:Schistosoma rodhaini strain Burundi genome assembly, scaffold: SROB_scaffold0000111
AUCCAUUUGACGAGUCCCAAAGUAGGACGAAACGCGUGUCCUGGAU